rnacentral:rRNA from 1 species
CCUACGGGAGACAGCAGUGGGGGAUAUUGCACAAUGGGGGAAACCCUGAUGCAGCGACGCCGCGUGGGUGAAGAAGUAUUUCGGUAUGUAAAGCCCUAUCAGCAGGGAAGAAAGAAGACGGUACCUGACUAAGAAGCCCCGGCUAACUACGUGCCAGCAGCCGCGGUAAUACGUAGGGGGCGAGCGUUAUCCGGAUUCACUGGGUGUAAAGGGAGCGUAGACGGCCGUGCAAGCCAGGAGUGAAAGCCCGGGGCCCAACCCCGGGACUGCUCUUGGAACUGUGCGGCUGGAGUGCGGGAGGGGCAGGCGGAAUUCCUGGUGUAGCGGUGAAAUGCGUAGAUAUCAGGAGGAACACCGGCGGCGAAGGCGGCCUGCUGGACCGCGACUGACGUUGAGGCUCGAAAGCGUGGGUAUCGAACAGGAUUAGAUACCCGAGUAGUC